GAAAGGGGAAAGGCAGGGGAAAGCAUUUCUCUCAAAACCUAGCAAGGAAAAUCUUCAAUCAAGAGGCCUAGGGAUCGAAAUUGCUAUGCAUGAAUUAGGAAUCAUAACCUCCUAAGUAUUCUCAUCAACAAGUAAGUCGAAUUUUGUGGUAUAAUGAUUUUGAUGAAACGGGUUGUGUGUAAUCCGUAAAUGUUUAUUGAAAUUGAGUAGGAAUUCUAGAUAAUAUGAAUAUAUAGUAGUUAUAAUAUGCUUAAUUUCAAUUAUGUUGAUGUUUUGGGGGAAAACCCAUUUGUAGAAGUAGUAGAAUGAAGAUGAUGAUGAUUACAUAUGUUUUGUUUUAUGAAAUUUUGGAUGGAUGAUGUUAGAUGUUGUAGGAUGUUUUUGAAUGAACCUAAUUAGAAUAAAAGUUAUGGGAUAUUUGUGGAAUCAAUGAUUUUGAUAUGAAAUAGUAAGAUUAUGCACAUGAUACUUGUACUUUAUGCUUUGUAAAAAGUGCGCACACAACAUGUUCGAUGAAAUGCCUAGGCUGAUUAAGUUAUCUUUUUAGCAUGAAAUUCUUGUUGAAUUGAUGAAUUAGUAUGAAAAUGAAAUUUGUAUGCGAAUAAUUAAUGUGGAAUUAUGUUGGAAUGAAAGGAUGCGAUUCUAGUUUAUAUGUUGUGUUGUUGGAAAUUGACGUACUAGUAAAGUUAAAAUAGGAUACGAGUGUGACAUGAAUGCAAUAUUAGAAUGUGCGUUAUACUAAUGAAGUAUGUAACCUUGAUGGUAUGAAAGUAUAGAAUCAUGUUUAGAUGGGAAAGCAUAGAAGGCAAACGGAAAGGAUAUGAGGAAGCAUGUACGAAACGGGCACUCGAGGUAAGUGAUUUCCGUAAUCACUUCUUAUUUUGUUUAAGUAAGGUAGCGUUAGUUUAUCGAGCAUGAUGAUGAUUGAGGUUUGAUAUGGUUUUGGUUGUAUGAAAUCGGUACCUUUUACUACGUAGACCGAACGGGUCAAAACAAGGUAGUAUGGAUAUGUCGGAAUAAUGCUUAAGUAAUGGCUACGGUUUUGUAACCGGGUAAUGGGUAGAAUUUCAUAUAAGAAUGUUAAUCGAGAAAUGGAAACGCUAAUGUAGACAAAAGACUCGGUUGUGAGUACUUGAAUGUGUUUGGAGUCGUGUUGAUUUAAAUAGUCUUAUUGUUGACCCGAAGUUCUUUUUAUCGUUAAGGUGGUUUGAUACAAAUUAUUGAAUAUGGUUCAACUUAACAAUAGCGUAUUAUCUUGACGAUGUUUUGGGGGUUUAAACCCAUCAAAAAAGAGUGCAAAUUGUUAAUGGGUCGAGAUACCCAAGUGCUGAAAAUUCAGCUUAUUUCCAGAUUUUUGCUAGUCUUUAAAAAUUCAUAGAAAAUCAACCGAAUGUCCGUUCAGGGCGUAUUUUAUAUCCACGGAAAGGUCUCGGAGUCACCGUUACUAAUAAUUUUAGGUUGAAGUGAAAUACUCACUGUAAAGAGGGGAAAGUACUGAACUACUACAGCUGCGUAAAGCUGAGUGAAAAAUAUAAAUUUUAUAGUACUUGCAUAAUCUUAAGGAAUUUAUAAGGAACCAAUAGGAUGUGAUUAUGUUGUUGUUUUAAAACUCAAUGUAGUUAUAUAUAUUUACAUGAGUUAAAGUGAGUGAUUCCUUGAAUAUGGGAUGCGUAUGCUAAAUUAAAAAAAAAAUCAUGGGUGUUGUAACCUGUAUAUGCAAAAACAUGUGUUCAUUUGGUAUUGCUUAUGAACAAGUGACACUUGUGUCGUUAAAACUAUAUAACCUAUUUGAGUAUGUUAUGAAUACAUGUACGAAUUACUAAGAGUAUGUUAGGUAAUAAUGAUUGUUGAUAGUCGUAUAUGUUUUCUAAUGAAUUUACAACAUAGUUAUGCGGCGGUUUACCAUUUUAUUUAUAUUGACCGAAUCGGUUUGAUAAUGGUUUACUUUGAAGUGUCCUUGAUUCUAUAUUAGCAUGGAUAUACAUGAGAUAUGGAUAAAAAGGGGGCGCCCAGAUUAGAAUAGAGAAAGUCACGAAAUGUGUGAUUGGAGAUAAUGAAGUGGUGGCUCGACAUUGUUUCGUUGGGUGUUAUGAGCACUGAAUACUCCAUUAUGUUUGAUACAAAAUCAUAUUAUGAGUAUUCACUUAGCAAAAGCUAAUUAUUUUUGGUGUUUUCAAUGUAGGUAAUAAGUCAUGAGAAUCAACGGGGUGGCUUGAAUCGGAAUCAUGAAAUAAGAAAAGAGCUCACAAGUCGUUCACCAAUAACCCGGUUCAAUCAAUAUAUUAGUAAUUAUUAUGCUUACCGUAGUUUCCCGGUCGACACUAACGAUAUGGUAAUGUUAUAUGACAGAUUGGGGUGGUAGAAAGGCGAAAGUGAUUAAGUCUUGGAAGCGGGUCAACGAUAUGAGGAUUUAGUGAUAUUUUGUUCACUAAGUAUAUGGGUUUCCUUAUUGGGACAAUUAGACUGAAUUAUUUGUAUUUUGGAGUUUAAGUCCAACGUUUGUUUUAGAAAUAUGCUAGUAUAUCAAUAUGGUAAUGAGUUAUGUUUGUUUAAAUAAAAGAGAACUUUGGUUGUUAAGCAGGUUUUGUUUUCAUAAGGAUUGGUCGUUUUGCAAAUAGGUCAUGGCGAAAUUUUUCUAAAUAUUUGUUUGUAAAUGUCUUAUUAAUCUGGUGACGUGGAUUCAUAUAUUUGG
rnacentral:lncRNA from 1 species